rnacentral:rRNA from 1 species
GAUGAACGCUGGCGGCGCGCCUAAUACAUGCAAGUCGAGCGAACAGACGAGGAGCUUGCUCCUCUGACGUUAGCGGCGGACGGGUGAGUAACACGUGGAUAACCUACCUAUAAGACUGGGAUAACUUCGGGAAACCGGAGCUAAUACCGGAUAAUAUAUUGAACCGCAUGGUUCAAUAGUGAAAUACGGUUUUGCUGUCACUUAUAGAUGGAUCCGCGCCGCAUUAGCUAGUUGGUAAGGUAACGGCUUACCAAGGCAACGAUGCGUAGCCGACCUGAGAGGGUGAUCGGCGACCCUGGAACUGAGACGCGGUCCAUACUCCUGCGGGAGGCAGCAGUAGGGAAUCUUCCGCAAUGGGCGAGAGCCUUACGGAGCAACGCCGCGUGAGUGAUGAAGGUCUUCGGAUCGUAAAACCCUGUUAUUAGGGAAGAACAAAUGUGUAAGUAACUAUGCACGUAUUGACGGUACCUAAUCAGAAAGCCACGGCUAACUACGUG